GCCUGAUGGACCAAUAAGAUGAGGGUUAAGUCAAAUGUGCGUGCAUAUGUAUUGUGUUCAAUAGAACUACAGGACAGAUCAACAGUGACGUGGACUUACUGUUUGGUGAACCAAUCCAUCGCAGAAAAGGUUUGAGCUUUGAUAUGGCAACAAGGCAGCUCAACCUGGAUUUUCACAGAAGCCAAGCCACAUCACAUGACCCUGGGUGAACUGUUACAGCCCAGGGAGCAUCGGCAGGGACGACCCUCUACACAUCUCCCUCCACCUUCGCCUCAGGCCUCUGAGCAUUCACUACUCAUACAGCAUACACAGAUUUCUGUAACAAACAGAAAUGACUGGGCUGAGCCUCAGAGUCUGCAGAAACAAACAGUUGUCAACCAAAAAAACAUGACUGAUUCUCAUGAAUGUUUCUACAGGAUUUUCUUAUUAUAUGUUUUCCAUUGGCUGAAGGGUACAUUUUGUUUAUUUUUAUUUUACCCCUCUACUACCCCCCCCCCCCUCUUCGAAACCUCGUUUGGUUUCCAUGUGCCAUAUAUUUCUCAAUUGUGCUGUGAUGUUUUACAAAAAAUGUUUACCUUUCUAAUCGUAUAUUAUCCACAGAUUGUGAGCUAAAGAUAAACCUUUCCUAUGAGUAUUAUUAAUUGACUGACUAUGACUUUCCAAAUCGCCCAACACUGCUAUUUGUAAGGUUAAUUUUAUUUGCAUGUUGUGAUUUUUUAAAAACAAUUCUUGAACCUGUGACCAGAAACAAGCUACAUAGGGCAGUACCAGAAUAAAUUAUCUAUUGAUUCUGUCUCUUCGCAACAAAAUCUACAGAGCUGAGAUUGUUGUAUGCCCGAUAUAUAUAGCAUUCUGUUGGUGGCAAUAAUUUUAUAUAAUCAUUUAAACUGAAAAACUCAGUGUUGAAUCAAGUGUAGUUGUUUGUACCAGUUCAUAAACCAUAUGCUAUGUAAUUGGUACAUCAAAAAGCUCCUCCCAUUUAUUUUGCAACCUGCAGCUGUCAAAUUUGGUAUAUUUGGUAUAUUUUUCUAUUUAUUUAUUUUUCUAUUUAUGCCAGUUCCUUUCAGCCAAUUUGUAUCUUUAAUAUAUGGCAGGCAAACAAGUUCCCUACCUUCUCCCUUUUCCACCUUUUUGUGGUAGUGCUGCAAUCAGUUGGUUGUAAGUUUGGAUUGAGCAGACAUUCCCAUAUAUUUUCGAUAGCAACAUAUGUGACCACUCCUCUGUUUCUAUUCAUAAUACCAUUAAUAAAUAUAAUACCAAUUUUAAACAUUUCCAUAAAGAAUGUUUUUUAAUUAAUCAGUAUAUUUGAGUUUAAUCAUAACAUUUGUUGUAAUAUAUGUUCAAUCUUUUCUGGAGGAUAAAACUGAAAUUGUAACCAGCUUUGUAUGGCUUGUUUAAGAAAGGACAAUAGUUUAAACAAAAUCUCGUUUUCAAUUAGUCGUAAAUGAGAAGCUGUAACCUGUGUAAAGGUAAAAAGGCCAUUUUUGAACAAAGGAUGAGCCUUUCGAAAAAAGUAUUAAAAGUAUUUACCUCUA